UCCCUUAGAUGUUCUGGGCCGCACGCGCGCUACACUGACGAAUGCAACGAGCUUAUAACCUUGGCCGAAAGGUCUGGGUAAUCUCCAAAUUUCGUCGUGAUGGGGAUAGAUUAUUGCAAUUAUUAAUCUUCAACGAGGAAUGCCUAGUAAGCGCAAGUCAUCAGCUUGCGUUGAUUACGUCCCUGCCCUUUGUACACACCGCCCGUCGCUCCUACCGAUUGAAUGGUCCGGUGAAGCGUUCGGACCGUGGCCUUUGGACGGUUCGCCGUCUGUUGGCUGCGGGAAGUUCGUUAAACCUUAUCAUUUAGAGGAAGGAGAANUCGUAACA
rnacentral:rRNA from 1 species